rnacentral:rRNA from 1 species
UACGAAGGGUGCAAGCGUUAAUCGGAAUUACUGGGCGUAAAAGGUGCGUUGGCGGUUCGUUAAGUCUGUUGUGAAAUCCCCGGGCUCAACCUGGGAAUGGCAAUGGAUACUGGCGAGCUAGAGUGUGAUAGAGGAUGGUGGAAUUCCCGGUGUAGCGGUGAAAUGCGUAGAGAUCGGGAGGAACAUCAGUGGCGAAGGCGGCCAUCUGGAUCAACACUGACGCUGAAGCACGAAAGCGUGGGGAGCAAACAGG